rnacentral:rRNA from 1 species
GAUGAACGCUGGCGGCGUGCCUAAUACAUGCAAGUCGAGCGAACAGACGAGGAGCUUGCUCCUCUGACGUUAGCGGCGGACGGGUGAGUAACACGUGGAUAACCUACCUAUAAGACUGGGAUAACUUCGGGAAACCGGAGCUAAUACCGGAUAACAUGUUGAACCGCAUGGUUCAACAGUGAAAGACGGUCUUGCUGUCACUUAUAGAUGGAUCCGCGCCGCAUUAGCUAGUUGGUAAGGUAACGGCUUACCAAGGCAACGAUGCGUAGCCGACCUGAGAGGGUGAUCGGCCACACUGGAACUGAGACACGGUCCAGACUCCUACGGGAGGCAGCAGUAGGGAAUCUUCCGCAAUGGGCGAAAGCCUGACGGAGCAACGCCGCGUGAGUGAAGAAGGUCUUCGGAUCGUAAAACUCUGUUAUUUGGGAAGAACAAAUGUGUAAGUAACUAUGCACGUCUUGACGGUACCUAAUCAGAAAGCCACGGCUAACUACGUG